CAUCUCUCUGCAUGAAAGGUGAAGAUGGAGAAACUCCCUGCAAGAGGACUGUGGGCAGUGCAUGGCUGUGAGCAACAACAGGAGGAGCACAGGAGGCAUUUUCAAAGCCAUGAUCAGGGGAAAUCCAGCUUCUCCGUUUUCAGGUUGCACUAUCCCAAGUGGUGGCCACAGAGAUGUGCCACCCAUUUUGCAGUCUCUGUUUCAACAGUAAUGAUCUCCAGCUGAAGGAUGGGAAGAAGCUGGUAAUGGUAAUAUAAAUAGCCCCAGUAUGGGCUGGCAGCCCUCCUCUUGAGUCCCACCUUCAGUGACAUUCUGAAUACAUGCUUUUCUGGGAUUUGGUUUGCACUGUGGGUCUGCAAAGAGCUGAACCACAACACUGCAGGAGCUGGAAGUGGUGACAGCGAUGGAGGAGUGAGCCAAGGAACAAGGGCUCUUUUCAACCUAUGGAAUUCUGCGCGCUACUUUGAAGAGGGCUGCAAAAGAUCACAAAGACAAGGAAGCUUAUUGUCAGUAGAUUUAAAUGAGCUAUCCAGGGGUCUGUGAUUCCAAGGGAAAGCUUCAGGAGUUGAUUAUAAAGUUGUAAGGCAGCUCGAUCCAUUAAAAUCCACCCAUCUUUGUAAUCCUUGGACUGACAAACAUCCCUCUGGCAGGACCUGUGCAGCUGAACUCUUUGUCACUGAAUAUUGUGGAUUCAAGAUGCUGCUCUGUCCCCUAUGCUGGGAAAUCCAUGUGGAAACCUCUAACAUGGUACCGGAUACCAAUGGACUGGGCUGGAAACCAAACCUUUGCUUUAGAGAAGCUGGAGUAGCUGGGACCAUACAGCCCAUUCAGUUUUGUAGCAAGGUCAUUCCUUUGUCCCCAGGAUGCAUGAGUAGGUACACAGUGUUCUCCCCAGA